rnacentral:rRNA from 1 species
UUGGGGGGGUUGCCCUAUUACUUGCAAGUCGAACGAACUCUGGUAUUGAUUGGUGCUUGCAUCAUGAUUUACAUUUGAGUGAGUGGCGAACUGGUGAGUAACACGUGGGAAACCUGCCCAGAAGCGGGGGAUAACACCUGGAAACAGAUGCUAAUACCGCAUAACAACUUGGACCGCAUGGUCCGAGCUUGAAAGAUGGCUUCGGCUAUCACUUUUGGAUGGUCCCGCGGCGUAUUAGCUAGAUGGUGGGGUAACGGCUCACCAUGGCAAUGAUACGUAGCCGACCUGAGAGGGUAAUCGGCCACAUUGGGACUGAGACACGGCCCAAACUCCUACGGGAGGCAGCAGUAGGGAAUCUUCCACAAUGGACGAAAGUCUGAUGGAGCAACGCCGCGUGAGUGAAGAAGGGUUUCGGCUCGUAAAACUCUGUUGUUAAAGAAGAACAUAUCUGAGAGUAACUGUUCAGGUAUUGACGGUAUUUAACCAGAAAGCCACGGCUAACUACGUGCCAGCAGCCGCGGUAAUACGUAGGUGGCAAGCGUUGUCCGGAUUUAUUGGGCGUAAAGCGAGCGCAGGCGGUUUUUUAAGUCUGAUGUGAAAGCCUUCGGCUCAACCGAAGAAGUGCAUCGGAAACUGGGAAACUUGAGUGCAGAAGAGGACAGUGGAACUCCAUGUGUAGCGGUGAAAUGCGUAGAUAUAUGGAAGAACACCAGUGGCGAAGGCGGCUGUCUGGUCUGUAACUGACGCUGAGGCUCGAAAGUAUGGGUAGCAAACAGGAUUAGAUACCCUGGUAGUCCAUACCGUAAACGAUGAAUGCUAAGUGUUGGAGGGUUUCCGCCCUUCAGUGCUGCAGCUAACGCAUUAAGCAUUCCGCCUGGGGAGUACGGCCGCAAGGCUGAAACUCAAAGGAAUUGACGGGGGCCCGCACAAGCGGUGGAGCAUGUGGUUUAAUUCGAAGCUACGCGAAGAACCUUACCAGGUCUUGACAUACUAUGCAAAUCUAAGAGAUUAGACGUUCCCUUCGGGGACAUGGAUACAGGUGGUGCAUGGUUGUCGUCAGCUCGUGUCGUGAGAUGUUGGGUUAAGUCCCGCAACGAGCGCAACCCUUAUUAUCAGUUGCCAGCAUUAAGUUGGGCACUCUGGUGAGACUGCCGGUGACAAACCGGAGGAAGGUGGGGAUGACGUCAAAUCAUCAUGCCCCUUAUGACCUGGGCUACACACGUGCUACAAUGGAUGGUACAACGAGUUGCGAACUCGCGAGAGUAAGCUAAUCUCUUAAAGCCAUUCUCAGUUCGGAUUGUAGGCUGCAACUCGCCUACAUGAAGUCGGAAUCGCUAGUAAUCGCGGAUCAGCAUGCCGCGGUGAAUACGUUCCCGGGCCUUGUACACACCGCCCGUCACACCAUGAGAGUUUGUAACACCCAAAGUCGGUGGGGUAACCUUUUAGGAACCAGCCCGGCCCUAAAAAAGGGGUA